AGAGUUUGAUCUGGCUCAGAUUGAACGCUGGCGGCAUGCCUUACACAUGCAAGUCGAACGGUAACGCGGACUUCGGUCUGGCGACGAGUGGCGAACGGGUGAGUAAUGUAUCGGAACGUGCCCUGGAGUGGGGGAUAGCUCGGCGAAAGCCGGAUUAAUACCGCAUACGAUCUAAGGAUGAAAGUGGGGGAUCGCAAGACCUCAUGCUCCUGGAGCGGCCGAUAUCUGAUUAGCUAGUUGGUAGGGUAAAAGCCUACCAAGGCUACGAUCAGUAGCUGGUCUGAGAGGACGACCAGCCACACUGGGACUGAGACACGGCCCAGACUCCUACGGGAGGCAGCAGUGGGGAAUUUUGGACAAUGGGCGAAAGCCUGAUCCAGCAAUGCCGCGUGUGUGAAGAAGGCCUUCGGGUUGUAAAGCACUUUUGUCCGGAAAGAAAUCCCUUGGGCUAAUAUCCCAGGGGGAUGACGGUACCGGAAGAAUAAGCACCGGCUAACUACGUGCCAGCAGCCGCGGUAAU
rnacentral:rRNA from 1 species